GACGAACGCUGGCGGCGUGCUUAACACAUGCAAGUCGAACGGAAAGGCCCUGCUUUUGUGGGGUGCUCGAGUGGCGAACGGGUGCGUAACACGUGAGUAACCUGCCCUUGACUUUGGGAUAACUUCAGGAAACUGGGGCUAAUACCGGAUAGGAGCUCCUGCUGCAUGGUGGGGGUUGGAACGUUUCGGCUGUUGGGGAUGGACUCGCGGCUUAUCAGCUUGUUGGUGGGGUAGUGGCUUACCAAGGCUUUGACGGGUAGCCGGCCUGAGAGGGUGACCGGCCACAUUGGGACUGAGAUACGGCCCAGACUCCUACGGGAGGCAGCAGGGGGGAAUAUUGCACAAUGGGCGGAAGCCUGAUGCAGCAACGCCGCGUGCGGGAUGACGGCCUUCGGGUUGUAAACCGCUUUCGCCUGUGACGAAGCGUGAGUGACGGUAAUGGGUAAAGAAGCACCGGCUAACUACGUG
rnacentral:rRNA from 1 species